CUGAAAGGGGACUCCGGUCCCCGGGACAAGCCCCCGUCGAGCCCUUGGGCUCCCCGGGUGGUGACACCCCUUACCCUUUGUUUACCUUACCUCUGUUGCUUUGGCAAGGCCCCUGCCCGGGUGGUUCCGGGCUUGGGCUCUGCCAGAGGGCCCCAACUCGUGGAUAGUUCUUGUUUGUCUGAGUACGAUAUAAUCGUUUA
rnacentral:misc_RNA from 1 species